ACUCAAAUGAAUUGACGGGGACCCGCACAACCGGUGGAGCGUGUGGUUCAAUUCGAUACAAAGCGAAAGACCUCACCAGGUUUUGACAUGCUACCGUUUUAAGUCCCUGGAAACAGGGACCUAUCCGCAAGGAUGGUAGCACAGCAGCUGCAUGGCUGUCGUCAGCUCGUGCCGUGGGGUGUUCCCUUAAGUGGGAGAACGAGCGCAACCCGUGUCCAAUGUUAUAUGUUUCAUUGGAGACCGCCCGCUCUCUGAGUAUCCGAAAGUAUCGGGUAUUGAGAGAGCGGGAGGAAGGAACGGACGACGUCAAGUCAGCACGGCGCUUAUAACCUGGGUAACACACACCCUACAAUGGCGAAUAACAAUGGGAUGCAAGGUAGCAAUGCCAAGCAAAUCCCCAGUAAAUUUCGCCUCAGUUCAGAUUGGGGGCUGCAACCCGCCCCCAUGAAGUCGGAAUCGGUAGUAAUCGCAGAUCAGCAGGCUGCGGUGAAUACGUUCUCGGGUCUUGUACACACCGCCCGU
rnacentral:rRNA from 1 species